AUGCCUUGUCCACUUCUUUCUGCUUCAACACUGUCUGGUCGUCUAACGCUUGGACAAAAUCGUCUGCAUCUUCCUCGACUUGGUACCUUCUGAUGAAUGAUCAGCCACUGCUGAAAGAGUGAUGCUUGAGGCGGAUGUGCCCAGACUGAGCUGAUCUGACUGGGGUUGGCAAUGUAUAGAAUGAUCCUGACAGCGUUGAACCAAUCGGGGCUAUCCAGACAGUCUAGUUUUCUGCCUUUGGGUUACCGUGUCUUGAUCACCCAGGCCUGGUCCACUACUGCCAGAAUCUCUACUUUCUGGCUCAUUCUUGUCUGCAAAACCCACAAGUAGUCAAAGUGGGGUGCACCGAACGGGUUGGACCAGACUGUUCUGCUUUUGGCAGUGCUGGUCAUGCCUGGAAUGGUUUUGACAGCGUUGAUCCAACCGGAGUUACUCAGGCAGUCAGGAUUUGUGCCUUUUGGGCUGCACUCUCUUGAUCACCCAUGCCUUGUCCACUUCUUUCUGCUUCAACACUGUCUGGUCGUCUAACGCUUGGACAAAAUUGUCUGCAUCUUCCUCGACUUGGUACCUUCUGAUGUAUGAUCAGCCACUGCUGAAAGAGUGAUGCUUGAGGCGGAUGUGCCCAGACUGAGCUGAUCUGACUGGGGUUGGCAAUGUAUAGAAUGAUCCUGACAGCGUUGAACCAAUCGGGGCUAUCCAGACAGUCUAGUUUUCUGCCUUUGGGUUACCGUGUCUUGAUCACCCAGGCCUGGUCCACUACUGCCAGAAUCUCUACUUUCUGGCUCAUUCUUGUCUGCAAAACCCACAAGUAGUCAAAGUUGGGUGCACCGAACGGGUUGGACCAGACUGUUCUGCUUUUGGCAGUGCUGGUCAUGCCUGGAAUGGUUUUGACAGCGUCGAUCCAACCGGAGUUACUCAGGCAGUCAGGAUUUGUGCCUUUUGGGCUGCACUCUCUUGAUCACCCAUGCCUUGUCCACUUCUUUCUGCUUCAACACUGUCUGGUCGUCUAACGCUUGGACAAAAUUGUCUGCAUCUUCCUCGACUUGGUACCUUCUGAUGUAUGAUCAGCCACUGCUGAAAGAGUGAUGCUUGAGGCGGAUGUGCCCAGACUGAGCUGAUCUGACUGGGGUUGGCAAUGUAUAGAAUGAUCCUGACAGCGUUGAACCAAUCGGGGCUAUCCAGACAGUCUAGUUUUCUUCCUUUGGGUUACCGUGUCUUGAUCACCCAGGCCUGGUCCACUACUGCCAGAAUCUCUACUUUCUGGCUCAUUCUUGUCUGCAAAACCCACAAGUAGUCAAAGUUGGGUGCACCGAACGGGUUGGACCAGACUGUUCUGCUUUUGGCAGUGCUGGUCAUGCCUGGAAUGGUUUUGACAGCGUUGAUCCAACCGGAGUUACUCAGGCAGUCAGGAUUUGUGCCUUUUGGGCUGCACUCUCUUGAUCACCCAUGCCUUGUCCACUUCUUUCUGCUUCAACACAGUCUGGUCGUCUAACGCUUGGACAAAAUUGUCUGCAUCUUCCUCGACUUGGUACCUUCUGAUGUAUGAUCAGCCACUGCUGAAAGAGUGAUGCUUGAGGCGGAUGUGCCCAGACUGAGCUGAUCUGACUGGGGUUGGCAAUGUAUAGAAUGAUCCUGAUAGCGUUGAACCAAUCGGGGCUAUCCAGACAGUCUAGUUUUCUGCCUUUGGGUUACCGUGUCUUGAUCACCCAGGCCUGGUCCAUUACUGCCAGAAUCUCUACUUUCUGGCUCAUUCUUGUCUGCAAAACCCACAAGUAGUCAAAGUGUGCUGCACCAAACGGGUUGGACCAGACUGUUCUGCUUUUGGCGGUGUUGGUCAUGCCUGGAAUGGUUUUGACAGCGUUGAUCCAAACGGAGUUACUCAGUCAGUCAGGAUUUGUGCCUUUUGGGCUGCACUCUCUUGAUCACCCAUGCCUUGUCCACUUCUUUCUGCUUCAACACAGUCUGGUCGUCUAACGCUUGGACAAAAUUGUCUGCAUCUUCCUCGACUUGGUACCUUCUGAUGUAUGAUCAGCCACUGCUGAAAGAGUGAUGCUUGAGGCGGAUGUGCCCAGACUGAGCUGAUCUGACUGGGGUUGGCAAUGUAUAGAAUGAUCCUGAUAGCGUUGAACCAAUCGGGGCUAUCCAGACAGUCUAGUUUUCUGCCUUUGGGUUACCGUGUCUUGAUCACCCAGGCCUGGUCCACUACUGCCAGAAUCUCUACUUUCUGGCUCAUUCUUGUCUGCAAAUCCCACAAGUAGUCAAAGUGGGGUGCACCGAACGGGUUGGACCAGACUGUUCUGCUUUUGGCAGUGCUGGUCAUGCCUGGAAUGGUUUUGACAGCGUUGAUCCAACCGGAGUUACUCAGGCAGUCAGGAUUUGUGCCUUUUGGGCUGCACUCUCUUGAUCACCCAUGCCUUGUCCACUUCUUUCUGCUUCAACACAGUCUGGUCGUCUAACGCUUGGACAAAAUUGUCUGCAUCUUCCUCGACUUGGUACCUUCUGAUGUAUGAUCAGCCACUGCUGAAAGAGUGAUGCUUGAGGCGGAUGUGCCCAGACUGAGCUGAUCUGACUGGGGUUGGCAAUGUAUAGAAUGAUCCUGACAGCGUUGAACCAAUCGGGGCUAUCCAGACAGUCUAGUUUUCUGCCUUUGGGUUACCGUGUCUUGAUCACCCAGGCCUGGUCCACUACUGCCAGAAUCUCUACUUUCUGGCUCAUUCUUGUCUUCAAAACCCACAAGUAGUCAAAGUGGGGUGCACCGAACGGGUUGGACCAGACUGUUCUGCUUUUGGCAGUGCUGGUCAUGCCUGGAAUGGUUUUGACAGCGUUGAUCCAACCGGAGUUACUCAGGCAGUCAGGAUUUGUGCCUUUUGGGCUGCACUCUCUUGAUCACCCAUGCCUUGUCCACUUCUUUCUGCUUCAACACAGUCUGGUCGUCUAACGCUUGGACAAAAUUGUCUGCAUCUUCCUCGACUUGGUACCUUCUGAUGUAUGAUCAGCCACUGCUGAAAGAGUGAUGCUUGAGGCGGAUGUGCCCAGACUGAGCUGAUCUGACUGGGGUUGGCAAUGUAUAGAAUGAUCCUGACAGCGUUGAACCAAUCGGGGCUAUCCAGACAGUCUAGUUUUCUGCCUUUGGGUUACCGUGUCUUGAUCACCCAGGCCUGGUCCACUACUGCCAGAAUCUCUACUUUCUGGCUCAUUCUUGUCUGCAAAACCCACAAGUAGUCAAAGUGUGCUGCACCGAACGGGUUGGACCAGACUGUUCUGCUUUUGGCAGUGCUGGUCAUGCCUGGAAUGGUUUUGACAGCGUUGAUCCAACCAGAGUUACUCAGGCAGUCAGGAUUUGUGCCUUUUGGGCUGCACUCUCUUGAUCACCCAUGCCUUGUCCACUUCUUUCUGCUUCAACACUGUCUGGUCGUCUAACGCUUGGACAAAAUUGUCUGCAUCUUCCUCGACUUGGUACCUUCUGAUGUAUGAUCAGCCACUGCCAAAAGAGUGAUGCUUGAGGCGGAUGUGCCCAGACUGAGCUGAUCUGACUGGGGUUGGCAAUGUAUAGAAUGAUCCUGAUAGCGUUGAACCAAUCGGGGCUAUCCAGACAGUCUAGUUUUCUUCCUUUGGGUUACCGUGUCUUGAUCACCCAGGCCUGAUCCACUACUGCCAGAAUCUCUACUUUCUGGCUCAUUCUUGUCUGCAAAACCCACAAGUAGUCAAAGUGGGGUGCACCGAACGGGUUGGACCAGACUGUUCUGCUUUUGGCGGUGUUGGUCAUGCCUGGAAUGGUCUUGACAGCGUUGAUCCAACCGGAGUUACUCAGGCAGUCAGGAUUUGUGCCUUUUGGGCUGCACUCUCUUGGUCCCCCAUGCCUUGUCCACUUCUUUCUGCUUCAACACUGUCUGGUCGUCUAACGCUUGGACAAAAUCGUCUGCAUCUUCCUCGACUUGGUACCUUCUGAUGUAUGAUCAGCCACUGCUGAAAGAGUGAUGCUUGAGGCGGAUGUGCCCAGACUGAGCUGAUCUGACUGGGGUUGGCAAUGUAUAGAAUGAUCCUGAUAGCGUUGAACCAAUCGGGGCUAUCCAGACAGUCUAGUUUUCUUCCUUUGGGUUACCGUGUCUUGAUCACCCAGGCCUGGUCCACUACUGCCAGAAUCUCUACUUUCUGGCUCAUUCUUGUCUGCAAAACCCACAAGUAGUCAAAGUGGGGUGCACCGAACGGGUUGGACCAGACUGUUCUGCUUUUGGCAGUGCUGGUCAUGCCUGGAAUGGUUUUGACAGCGUUGAUCCAACCGGAGUUACUCAGGCAGUCAGGAUUUGUGCCUUUUGGGCUGCACUCUCUUGAUCACCCAUGCCUUGUCCACUUCUUUCUGCUUCAACACUGUCUGGUCGUCU
rnacentral:lncRNA from 1 species